UAACUCUGGUUUCCCUUCAAACGCAUAAAUCUUUCGACUUUUACUAAAGAUUUCCCGUGGAGGGCGAACAACUCAAUGAGUCUUACUCAAUUUUUUAUAUAGCCCACUUCGCGUGGGUUC
rnacentral:snRNA from 1 species